GCGUGUCACCUGUGCAUGACCAAUAGUUUGUAUGUAUCUUGGCGUUAUCUUACACGAACGUAUUUACCUAUAGGUGGAUCAUACAAUCUACAAGGAUAAUAGUUGAUUUCAUUUUGGAUAAAUUAAUGAGUAUUCCUUACGUUGUGGAUAGUUUUACUAUAAUUGUUCUGUGUUGUUUUCUACAGAUUUCAAUAAAUUGUCAUUAAAAAUUUCCAUCAACGUUGCUGGUAUCCUGUUGAUAUAUGUUCAAAUCUAUCAUGGUGAAAAACACCUGGCGGUGGAUAAAAGAUAAAGGUUAUAUCUACGUCAUCACUGUGGUAUCCCUUGUGUACCUUUUGUAUGUGUACCUGAAUCGACAUGAUACACAUAAUGGAAAUGAAGCAUCAGGAGGAAAUAUACAUGCGUGGCAUAUCGAUUUUGCGGAAUUUCUUCUGACAUUUCAAGAUUAUACAGAGUAAAAAUAACUGUUUGAUGUGUUUGAUUAUUUUGCAAGUCAUAACAUAAAAAAAUGACUUCUACAACAAAAAUGAGUUUAUAAAAUAAAUCUAUGUAUAUAUGUAAUUGAUAUAAAAAUAUCACAAACACAA